AGCCAGAGUGGUGUAGUGGUUUGAGUGUGAAACUAUGAAACUCUGGAAAACAGGGUUCAAAUCCCUGUUUGGCUA